GCCCCUAUAGCCCAAUUGGCAGAGGCAGAGGACUUAAAAUCCUUGUGUUCUCGGUUCGAGUCCGAGUAGGGGCA
rnacentral:tRNA from 1 species